UACGGGGGGGGCGAGCGUUGUUCGGAAUUACUGGGCGUAAAGGGCGCGUAGGCGGUUUGCUAAGUUGGAUGUGAAAACUCUGGGCUUAACCCAGAGCCUGCAUUCAAAACUGACAGGCUAGAGUUCUGGAGGGGAUAGCGGAAUUCCUGGUGUAGCGGUGAAAUGCGUAGAUAUCAGGAGGAACACCGGUGGCGAAGGCGGCUAUCUGGACAGAAACUGACGCUGAGGCGCGAAAGCUAGGGGAGCAAACGGG
rnacentral:rRNA from 1 species